AUGGCUUACAAUGUUAUUCUUAAGAAUAAAGAGGUAAUAACAGUGAUUAUACGAUGUCGGACGUGCAGGGUUAACUCGAACUUGUAGAGAAUCGUUGUUGUGCUCACCUUUGCUUACACAGCCUCGCGUCUACCUCAUCCUCUUUGUAAUAUUUUGCUUUUCAGAUUUCUUAAUUUGAAGCCUUCAAAGGUGUCACCGCUGCUCCACCAUACCGCUGCCGCACACCAUUGUUUCUCUUCGUCGGCUAAUCAAUAUCAGUUAGCGGUGGCAUUGGGUUUGUGGGUUGAAUUGAUGAGCUUGUGUCAAAUACAUCAACCCGUAUAACCCAAAUACAGUAUUUAACGAGUAUGAAGAUCACAACUAUGCUAGGACUGAGUAUUGCAAUAGAAUCGGUGGAACUUAAAGAAGGUUCUUUAGACUAGUUCACAAAUGAUAUGGAGCCCUUCUUGAGGAAGUAAGGGAUGCUUGUACGGUUGUGUGAAGGUGUGGUGGAACAUGUCGGAUACUUUGUUGUAUGUGAGGAGGGUAAUUCCAUAUCGCCUGAGGUGUCUCACAUAUUGAUGAAGAUGGCUACAUCACUUGAGACACGUUGUGUAAGUUAUAUUAAAUUGUGUGCUCUAGCUUUAAAGUAGUUAUAUGACAUGGUUGUUUUCGUGAGACACGGUGCGUGUUUGGACACCUUUUAUUGCUGGAAAUAUGUAAUAGAAUAUGCAAAUCCCACCAGAAAUAUAGUAAUUCUACUCCU
rnacentral:lncRNA from 1 species